UACGGAGGGGACUAGCGUUGUUCGGAAUUACUGGGCGUAAAGCGCACGUAGGCGGCUUUGUAAGUUAGAGGUGAAAGCCCGGGGCUCAACUCCGGAAUUGCCUUUAAGACUGCAUCGCUAGAAUUGUGGAGAGGUAAGUGGAAUUCCGAGUGUAGAGGUGAAAUUCGUAGAUAUUCGGAAGAACACCAGUGGCGAAGGCGACUUACUGGACACAUAUUGACGCUGAGGUGCGAAAAGCGUGGGGGAGCAAACAGG
rnacentral:rRNA from 1 species